ACUCCUACGGGAGGCAGCAGUGGGGAAUAUUGCACAAUGGGCGCAAGCCUGAUGCAGCCAUGCCGCGUGUGUGAAGAAGGCCUUCGGGUUGUAAAGCACUUUCAGUCGUGAGGAAGGUAGUGUAGUUAAUAGCUGCAUUAUUUGACGUUAGCGACAGAAGAAGCACCGGCUAACUACGUGCCAGCAGCCGCGGUAAUACGUAGGGUGCAAGCGUUGUCCGGAAUUAUUGGGCGUAAAGAGCUCGUAGGCGGUUUGUCACGUCUGCUGUGAAAAUCCAAGGCUCAACCUUGGACUUGCAGUGGGUACGGGCAGGCUAGAGUGCGGUAGGGGAGAUGGGAAUUCCUGGUGUAGCGGUGGAAAUGCGCAGAUAUCAGGAGGAACACCAAUGGCGAAGGCACAUCUCUGGGCCGUAACUGACGCUGAGGAGCGAAAGCGUGGGGAGCGAACAGGAUUAGAUACCCUGGUAGGUCAGU
rnacentral:rRNA from 1 species